rnacentral:rRNA from 1 species
UUCCCCUUCGGGGGACAGGGUGACAGGUGGUGCAUGGUUGUCGUCAGCUCGUGUCGUGAGAUGUUGGGUUAAGUCCCGCAACGAGCGCAACCCCUGUGGUUAGUUGCCAGCAAGUAGCGUUGGGCACUCUAGCCAGACUGCGGUGAUAAAUCGGAGGAAGGUGGGGACGACGUCAAAUCAUCAUGCCCUUUAUGUCCUGGGCUACACACGUACUACAAUGGCCGUUACAACGGGAAGCGAAGGAGCAAUCCGGAGCAAAUCCCUUAAAGGCGGUCCCAGUUCAGAUUGUGGGCUGAAACUCGCCCACAUGAAGGCGGAAUUGCUAGUAAUUGCAGAUCAGCAUGCUGCAGUGAAUACGUUCCCGGGCCUU